AGGAGGAUCAGCCGCCGCCGCCGCCCCCCCCAGGGGGAGUACAGGGAACUCAGCCCAGCGGGCGGGGGGCGCUGUGGGGAGCGUCUCUCGGGGGGGGGGAGGGGCUGGCGGGGCGCCCUCCCGACAGCCACGUUGCAGCGCAGCCCCCCCUCAGAGAGGAUCCCGCCCCCGGAGCAGCCGCGUCUGACCGCAGCCCUCAAGGGAGUAAAAAGAGUGGGGGGGUGGGGGGGAGACAGCUGGAGAUACCAGCGUGCCCACCCCCCUGCGCAGCUGGGAUCCCGGCUCCAGCCUCAUCUCUCCUGCCCAGCCUUAAUGUUUCUGUCGGGAGUGCUGUAGGCGUGCAGGGCCCGGGCUGGCGGAGAGAAGGUGGGCGAGACCAAUGAAGGACUUCAACCUCAUUUUCAGUCAACUAAUUGACAUGCAAGUAAACUGGUACAACAGGAAGACAAAAACCUACUGGAAUUAAUCAAUGAUCUGUUUUUAAAGUGAAAAACAUGACACUUGGUGUAGUAGGAGAAGAUAUAGUAGACAUCUGUCCCUGUGCCUGAAAAACAGAAGUGAGACCAUAGGAGUACAGCCUAAAAAGGUUGGAAUCUGCUGUGUAAGAAAUCCCACAUCUGAAUAUCUUCUAAUUAUCCCUCAUCUUGAACUAAGACUCUCACUACAAUGUCCUAUGGGGUAAUGAAACAAAGGUUGCUAGAAGUAACAGACUAAUCUAUAGAAAUUUCAUUUUGAAGCAUUUUAGGUUUAAGCUAGGAAUUGAAGACAGCAUUAGCCAUGCUAAUGGGACUUAAACACCACUCUUAGGAAACAUGACUUGGUUUAACCAAUAGGCAAAAAUGUAAAUAUCACUAAUGGUUUAGCCUGUGUCAGAUGAAAUGCUUUGGAAUUGUAGAUAAUGCUGCCAUAUAAUUUAAACAGCAAACUAAUUGAAUUUAUUAAUACUAGGGCUGUCAAGCAAUUAAAAAAAUUAAUCACGCUGUUAAACAGUAAUAGAAUACCAUUUACAUAUUUUGACAUUUUCUACAUUUGCAAAUAUACUUAUUUCAAUUAUAACACAAAGUUUAUAGUGCUCACCUUACAUUUUUGAUAAUUACUUCUACUGUAAAAAGACAAAGUAUUCACCGAAUAUUACUGUAGUGCAAUCUCUUUAUAAUGAAACUUACAAAUGCUUGAAUUAUGUACAAAAAAGCUGCAUGCAAAAAAUUUUUUAAAAAAAGUAAAAUUUUAGCGCCUGCAAGUCCACUCAGUUCUACUACUUAUUCAGCCAGUUGCUCAGACAAACAAGUUUGUUUACAUUUAUGGGAGAUAAUGCUGCCCGCUUCUUGUUUACAAUGUCACCUGAAAGUGAGAAAAACAUUGUAGCAGGCAUCACAAGAUAUUUAUAUGCCAGAUGCACUAAAGAUUCAUAUAUCCCUUCCUGCUUCAACCACCAUUCCAGGGGACAUGCAUCCAUUCCGAUGAUGGGUUCUGCUCGAUAACAAUCCAAAGCAGUGCAGACCAACGGAUGUCCAUUUUCAUUAUCUGAGUCAGAUACCACCAGCAGAAGGUUGAUUUUCUUUUUUAGUGGUUCGAGUUCUGUAGUUUUCACAUCGGAGUGUUGUUCUUUUAAGACUUCUGAAAGCAUGUUCCACACCUUGUCCCUCUCAGAUUUUGGAAGCCACUUCAGAUUCUUAAAUCUUGGGACGAGUGCUGUAGUUAUCUUGAGAAAUCUCACAUUGGUACCUUCCUUGCUUUUUUGUCAGCUCUGCAGUGAGAGCCUUCUUAAAAUGACCAACAUGUGCUGGCUAAUCAUCCGAGACUGCUAUGAAAUAUAUGGCAAAAUGUGGGUAAAGCAGAGCAGGAGACAUGCAAUUCUCCCCUAAAGAGUUCAGUCACAAAUUUAAUUAAUGCAUUUUUUUUUUAAAUGAGCGUCAUGAGCAUGGAAGCACAUAUAAUGUUUAGCAUAUCUGGCAUAUAAAUACCUUGCAAUGCCAGCUACAAAAGUGCCAUGCAAAUGCCUGUUCUCACUUUCUGGUGACAUUGUAAAUAAGAAGAGGGCAGCAUUAUCUCCCAUAAAUGUAAACAAACUUGUUUGUCUGAGCAACUAGCUGAAUAAGUAGUAGGACUGAGUGGACUUGCAGGCACUUGUUGCAUAACUGCACUUAAAAACAAAAAAAACCUACAUUUGUAAACUGGACUUUCACAACAAAGAUUGCACUACAAUACUUGUAUGAGGUGAAUUGAAAAAUGCUAAUAAUAUACAUUUUGAUUACAAUUACAACACAGAAUGCAAUAUAUAUGGAAAUGUAAAAAAAUCCAAAAUAUUUAAUAAAUUUCAAUGGGUAUUCUAUUGUUUAAUAGUGAGAUUAAAACUGCAAUUAAUCGUGAUUAAUUUUUUAGUUAAUCACGUGAGUUAACUGCGAUUAAUCAACAGCCCUAAAUAUACUGAGUCUACUGAAUUAGAUUAUAUGUAUAUACAGUGAUCAUUUGGUUAAAUGUGGGGAGGCUGCCAACCCAGGGGUGAGGUGAGGGCAGGGGAGGGAAUACAGGCCCACCCAACUCCACUGCAUCCCAGUCCAGGGCCCUAACAGUGGCAGAGUGGUCCACCACUGGGUCAGUGGGGAUCCACCCACAACACACUGACAUUGUAUGAGGCCAACUCUCAACCAGACUGUCAUCUAGUUUCCUUGGGCUACUUUCUAUAUCCCCCAGGGUUUGGUACCUCUACAGUGUAGUUGCCCUCCAUCUCCCCAGGGUAGGUGGCCAGCAACAGCCCCAGCAGCUCAUUGGUGUCUCGGUCAGCU